AUUGAACGCUGGCGGCAUGCCUUACACAUGCAAGUCGAACGGCAGCACGGGGCAACCUGGUGGCGAGUGGCGAACGGGUGAGUAAUGCAUCGGAACGUACCUUUCAGUGGGGGAUAACGUAGCGAAAGUUACGCUAAUACCGCAUAUUCUGUGAGCAGGAAAGCAGGGGAUCGCAAGACCUUGCGCUGAUUGAGCGGCCGAUGUCAGAUUAGCUAGUUGGUGAGGUAAAGGCUCACCAAGGCGACGAUCUGUAGCGGGUCUGAGAGGAUGAUCCGCCACACUGGAAAUGGGACACGGUCCAGACUCCUACGGGAGGCAGCAGGGGGGAAUUUUGGACAAUGGGGGCAACCCUGAUCCAGCCAUGCCGCGUGAGUGAAGAAGGCCUUCGGGUUGUAAAGCUCUUUCGGCCGGGAAGAAAUCGCACGGGCUAAUACCCUGUGUGGAUGACGGUACCGGAAUAAGAAGCACCGGCUAACUACGUGCCAGCCGCCGCCGUAA
rnacentral:rRNA from 1 species